UCCUUUUCUCCCUUCCUUCCUUCUUUUAUUUCUUUUUCACUUUCAGACUUCCACUGGUGCUCAGGGUACAUGGAGCAGCAUCAGGGGAGUAAGGAAAAGUCUGGAGCCCUCUGAUCAUUUCAGAGCCCUCUCCUGGGGCUCAUGGGUUAGGGCAAACCACAAGCCCAUGGCUGCUACACAGAAAUGUGGACCAGCCCUUCUAUUGAUAUGGAGAAGCCAAGCCCAGAAGAUUCACUUGACUAUUACUAAGCAAUAGAGGAAAAUGAGGAUAGUGCCUGACAGCACAUGAAGCUGACCCAAGCUGGCCCUGUGUCCCAGAGGGGUCAGAAGACAACUCAUAUAGCAGUUAAUAAAGAACAAGAAAGCUCUUUUGAUAUCUCCUUAUUUGGAAUCCCAAAGCAUAUGACUCUAACACUGCUCUCUACUAAAGGACAAAUAUUGGGCAGGGCACAACUUCUGGAGCUGCCCUGCAUGGCUGUGCAGAGGUCCCUGAAAGGUCACCUGCUGUGUGUCUUCCAGCGUCCCUGUAAGAGAGUAGACAGAGAAGUCAUGCAUCACCUUGCACUGUCCCCUUUCCUUCCCUGACUCGCUCCUCUUCAUGCUUUCUCCAGCCUGGGAUUUUAUUUCUCAAAUAAAGACAAACCUUAAUCUUAAUCCUCACCUCAGCCUUUGUUUUCCAGGAAAUCUGGACUAAAACACUGACCAGUUUUAAAAAAUGGUAACAUGUUUAUACUCUUUUCCUAUCUUUCUGCUCAAAAUUUACAUGGUACUUUGGGGAUCUGCCUGCCUAUGCGACUCCAUAUGCAACUUUUUUUUUUUUUUUUUUUGAGAUGGAGUCUUGCUCUGUUGCCCAGGCUGGAGUGCAGUGGUGAGAUCUCGGCUCACUGAAAGCUCCACCUCCCGGGUUCACUCCAUUCUCCUGCCUCAGCCUCCCGAGUAGCUGGGACUACAGGCGCCCACCACCAUGCCCUGCUAAUUUUUUGUAUUUUUAGUAGAGACGGGG
rnacentral:lncRNA from 1 species